rnacentral:rRNA from 1 species
AUUAGAUACCCCGGUAGUCCUAGCCGUAAACGAUACUCGCUAGGUGUCGGCCACGGUGCGACCGUUGUCGGUGCCGUAGGGAAGCCGUGAAGCGAGCCACCUGGGAAGUACGGCCGCAAGGCUGAAACUUAAGGGAAUUGGCGGGGGAGCACCACAACGGGUGGAGCUUGCGGUUUAAUUGGAUUCAACGCCGGAAAUCUUACCGGGACCGACAGCAAUAUGAAGGCCAGGCUGAAGACUUUGCCGGAUUAGCUGAGAGGUGGUGCAUGGC